rnacentral:rRNA from 1 species
AGAUUAGAGUUUGAUCAUGGCUCAGAUUGAACGCUGGCGGCAUGCCUUACACAUGCAAGUCGAACGGUAACAGGGAGCUUGCUCCGCUGACGAGUGGCGAACGGGUGAGUAAUACAUCGGAACGUGCCCAGUAAUGGGGGAUAGCUCGGCGAAAGCCGGAUUAAUACCGCAUACGCCCUGAGGGGGAAAGUGGGGGACCGCAAGGCCUCAUGUUAUUGGAGCGGCCGAUGGCUGAUUAGCUAGUUGGUAGGGUAAAGGCCUACCAAGGCGACGAUCAGUAGCUGGUCUGAGAGGACGAUCAGCCACACUGGGACUGAGACACGGCCCAGACUCCUACGGGAGGCAGCAGUGGGGAAUUUUGGACAAUGGGGGAAACCCUGAUCCAGCAAUGCCGCGUGUGCGAAGAAGGCCUUCGGGUUGUAAAGCACUUUUGUCAGGGAAGAAAUCCUUUGGGCUAAUACCCUAGGGGGAUGACGGUACCUGAAGAAUAAGCACCGGCUAACUACGUGCCAGCAGCCGCGGUAAUACGUAGGGUGCAAGCGUUAAUCGGAAUUACUGGGCGUAAAGCGUGCGCAGGCGGUUGUGUAAGACAGGUGUGAAAUCCCCGGGCUUAACCUGGGAAUUGCAUUUGUGACUGCACGACUAGAGUGUGUCAGAGGGGGGUGGAAUUCCACGUGUA